rnacentral:rRNA from 1 species
CCUACGGGUGGCAGCAGUGGGGAAUAUUGGGCAAUGGGCGCAAGCCUGACCCAGCAACGCCGCGUGAAGGAAGAAGGCUUUCGGGUUGUAAAGUUCUUUUCUCAGGGACGAAGCAAGUAACGGUACCUGAGGAAUAAGCCACGGCUAACUACGUGCAAGCAGCCGCAGUAAUACGUAGGUGGCAAGCUUUAUCCGGAUUUACUGGGUGUAAAGGGCGGGUAGGCGGGUCAGAAAGUCAGAUGUGAAAACCAUGGGCUCAACCUGUGGCCUGCAUUUGAAACUGUAGUUCUUGAGUACUGGAGAGGCAGACGGAAUUCCUAGUGUAGCGGUGAAAUGCGUAGAUAUUAGGAGGAACACCAGUGGCGAAGGCGGUCUGCUGGACAGCAACUGACGCUGAGGCGCGAAAGCGUGGGGAGCAAACAGGAUUAGAUACCCUGGUAGUC